UCGAGGUGAGCCGGGCCAUU
rnacentral:siRNA from 1 species